rnacentral:misc_RNA from 1 species
GCCCGGUCAAGCUCCCUUUGGGCAACUUUGUUGCUGUGUAAACCUCUAAGGACAUUCUUGCAAGCAUCGACAGCUUUGUAAACCUUGCUUGGUGUAGAAGUUACUGAUACGACGUACCAACCAAGUUUCAACCUGUCAAAUAGGCUUAACUCAAAGGAUACAUCAUAUGUCAACCCUAAGGAGUCCCUAACAGUUGUGAAGAGCCUAGAAUUU